UGCAAUAAAAUAUAAUAAUUAGAUAAUGUAUAUAAUUUUUUUAAAAAAAAUUUAAAUAGUAAAUAGGAUUGGAAUGCUUACUCCACCAUCUAAAAUAGUCUGUGAUCGAUGGUGCUCCUGUAAUGUAAGAAUACUGCUGUCUCGAGGAUCGGGAUACCGCGGAUCGUAAGCCAUAAUACGCUAAUGAAUCUAAAAUAAUGAUAUUAUCAUAAG
rnacentral:lncRNA from 1 species